rnacentral:rRNA from 1 species
UACCGGCGGCUCGAGUGGUGGCCACUAUUACUGGGCUUAAAGCGUUCGUAGCUGGUCUGUUAAGUCUCUGGGGAAAUCUACUGGCUUAACCAAUAGGCGUCUCAGGGAUACUGGCAGACUAGGGACCGGGAGAGGUGAGAGGUACUCCAGGGGUAGGAGUGAAAUCCUGUAAUCCUUGGGGGACCACCUGUGGCGAAGGCGUCUCACCAGAACGGCUCCGACAGUGAGGGACGAAAGCUGGGGGAGCAAACCGGAUUAGAUACCCGGGUAGUCCCAGCCGUAAACGAUGCGCGUUAGGUGUAUCGAUGACCACGAGUCAUCGAGGUGCCGAAGAGAAAUCGUGAAACGUGCCGCCUGGGAAGUACGGUCGCAAGGCUGAAACUUAAAGGAAUUGGCGGGGGAGCACCACAACAGGUGGAGCCUGCGGUUUAAUCGGACUCAACGCCGGAAAUCUCACCGGAUAAGACAGCUGUAUGAUAGUCGGGCUGAAGACUCUACUUGACUAGCU